rnacentral:rRNA from 1 species
GAUGAACGCUGGCGGCGUGCUUAAGACAUGCAAGUCGAACGCAACCUGGGUAGCAAUACUCGGGUUGAGUGGCGAAUGGGUGCGUAACACGUAGGUGACCUGCCCUGAAGCGGGGAAUAACAGUUCGAAAGGACUGCUAAUACCGCAUGUGGUCCCGGGGUUUAGAAGCCGGGGACGAAAGGUCGGCGCAAGUCGAUCACUUCAGGAGGGGCCUGCGGCCCAUCAGCUCGUUGGUAGGGAACGGCCUACCAAGGCAACGACGGGUAGGGGACCUGAGAGGGU